rnacentral:rRNA from 1 species
UACGGAGGGUGCAAGCGUUAUCCGGAUUCACUGGGUUUAAAGGGUGCGUAGGAGGGCAGGUAAGUCAGUGGUGAAAUCUCCGAGCUUAACUUGGAACUGCCGUUGAUACUAUCUGUCUUGAAUAUUUGUGGAGGUGAGCGGAAUAUGUCAUGUAGCGGUGAAAUGCUUAGAUAUGACAUAGAACACCAAAUUUGCGAAGGCAGCUCGCUACACAUAUAUUGACUCUGAGGCACGAAAGCGUGGGGAUCAAACAGG